AAAAAAUAAAAAAUAUAUAUAUAUAAUAUUAUAUUUUACGAGCAUUAAAAUGUGUGAUAAUCCCUCCAUCUCUAAUAUAAAAAAUGUAGAUGGUCAAUGUGAGCAUAAUUUUUAGUUACAAGUUAAAGUUUAAGAAAAAUAUAUAUGUCGAUAAAUAUUGAGGUCUAGUCGAGAUUGUAUUCAGAAAUCUGAAUACUACCAUACUUCCUCUUUAGAUCCGCGUUAAACGAUGAAUUUGUUGAAUUAGCGGCGUGAAGACGAGGAUGGAUGCAUCCGUACAAAAGGAGGGUCUGUCAUCUACGUGUUUGUGCGUGGUUGAUAGUGAGUUGGUAAUUGCUGAAAGCCUCAGACUUGAAAGCCUAAAAAGGAGGGGCGGUGGUGAAAAUCUAGAAAACAAUGAUGGAGAAGCGAGGGUGAUGUGUUAAGAGGCAAAGAAAUAAUAGAGUGGCUGGCUGGUUAAGGGCCAUGUCCAAGAAUAAAUGAACGAUGAAUCGUGCAACUUCAUUGUCACAAACCACCCCCAUUUUAAUCUAUCCCACUGUUGGACAUAAAAGAGUAAAUAUGUUGUGUGUAUAUAUUAUAUCUCAUAGUUUGUUACAGGAGGAGGUAGCCUCAAGUUUUCAACCCCUUUUCCCGAUCUACUCCUGUGUUAUUUAUACUGCUUGCUCAUGUGUUGUAGCUUGUGGGCUUUAUCUUGAUGGGCUUUUCAGUCUUGGGCUGGAGGCCCAACAUUAGUCCCCCUCAAAAGUAGUUCCAGAUCUUUAGAUGUGGAUUGGAUUAUUUUGGAAAGCAUCUUUAUCGCAUGUGACUUUUGUUGCUUGACAAGUUUAUUGUGGCGUGGAGGCGGUGUGACAUUCCUGUAAGGAGGUGCAUGAGGUGGUGAGG
rnacentral:lncRNA from 1 species